GAUGAACGCUGGCGGCGUGCUUAACACAUGCAAGUCGAACGGAAAGGCCCAAGCUUGCUUGGGUACUCGAGUGGCGAACGGGUGAGUAACACGUGGGUGAUCUGCCCUGCACUUCGGGAUAAGCCUGGGAAACUGGGUCUAAUACCGGAUAGGACGAUGGUUUGGAUGCCAUUGUGGAAAGUUUUUUCGGUGUGGGAUGAGCUCGCGGCCUAUCAGCUUGUUGGUGGGGUAAUGGCCUACCAAGGCGUCGACGGGUAGCCGGCCUGAGAGGGUGUACGGCCACAUUAGGACUGAGAUACGGCCCAGACUCCUACGGGAGGCAGCAGUGGGGAAUAUUGCACAAUGGGCGCAAGCCUGAUGCAGCGACGCCGCGUGGGGGAUGACGGCCUUCGGGUUGUAAACUCCUUUCGCUAGGGACGAAGCGUUUUGUGACGGUACCUGGAGAAGAAGCACCGGCUAACUACGUG
rnacentral:rRNA from 1 species